AGUUAAAGCUAGGGGUGUCUGGAAUGUCCAGGCUGAGAGAUACCCUUAGAACCUGAGUCUGGGUAAUACCAGCGGAGGGAAGCUGUUUAUAGAGGUC
rnacentral:ncRNA from 2 species